CAACGGAACAAGUUACCCUAGGGAUAACAGCGCAAUCCUAUUCUAGAGUCCAUAUCGACAAUAGGGUUUACGACCUCGAUGUUGGAUCAGGACAUCCUAAUGGUGCAGCAGCUAUUAAGGGUUCGUUUGUUCAACGAUUAAAGUCCUACGUGAUCUGAGUUCAGACCGGAGUAAUCCAGGUCGGUUUCUAUCUAUUACGC
rnacentral:rRNA from 1 species